rnacentral:rRNA from 1 species
CCUACGGGCGGCAGCAGUAGGGAAUUUUCGGCAAUGGGGGGAACCCUGACCGAGCAACGCCGCGUGAAGGAAGAAGGACUUCGUUCUGUAAACUUCUGUUAUAAAGGAAGAAAGACGGAUGGAGGAAAUGACAUCCGAGUGACGGUACUUUAUGAGAAAGCCACGGCUAACUACGUGCCAGCAGCCGCGGUAAUACGUAGGUGGCAAGCGUUAUCCGGAAUUAUUGGGCGUAAAGGGGGAGCAGGCGGCAGCAAAGGUCUGUGGUGAAAGACUGAAGCGUAACUUCAGUAAGCCAUGGAAAUCGGGAAGCUAGAGGGGAGGAGAGGAGGGUGGAAUGCGAGGUGUAGCGGGGAAAUGCGUAGAUAUAGGGAGGAACACCAGUGGCGAAGGCGGCGAGCUGGACUGCAACUGACGCUCAGUCCCGAAAGCGUGGGGAGCAAAUAGGAUGAGAUACCCCUGUAGUC